UCUAGUGGCAAUAGCGAAGAGGUCACACCUGUUCCCAUGCCGAACACAGCAGUUAAGCUCUUCAGCGCCGAUGGUAGUUGGGGCAUUGCCCCUGUGAGAGUAGGACGUCGCUAGGC
rnacentral:rRNA from 1 species